rnacentral:rRNA from 1 species
CAGCAGCAGCCGCGGUAAUACGAAGGGUGCAAGCGUUACUCGGAAUUACUGGGCGUAAAGCGUGCGUAGGUGGUGGUUUAAGUCCGUUGUGAAAGCCCUGGGCUCAACCUGGGAAUUGCAGUGGAUACUGGGUCACUAGAGUGUGGUAGAGGAUAGUGGAAUUUCCGGUGUAGCAGUGAAAUGCGUAGAGAUCGGAAGGAACAUCUGUGGCGAAGGCGACUAUCUGGGCCAACACUGACACUGAGGCACGAAAGCGUGGGGAGCAAACAGGAUUAGAUACCCCUGUAGUCCCUGUCUCUUAUAC